rnacentral:antisense_RNA from 1 species
AUUUGAGUUACUAGAACUAUACUUUGAAUUUAAGUACCCUUUAAAAUUUGCAUAAUCAUAAUUAGGCUCGUUUACAGGCAUUUGUUGCAUUAAUUGAUUUCCAGACAAGUUAUUUUGUGAAUAAUAGUGAGAAUUAUUGAAGAAGCUGCUAGAGUGGUGAUUGGCAAAAUCCGAAUUUGGAUUAUUCCUAUGUCUCGGGUAAUGCUUGUUAUGAGAUUCAUAACCAGUUAGUAUCCUAUGUUUGCUUUGAUAAUAGUAAUUUUUGUGACAAGAAGAAACUUGAACAGGUCUCCGUUGAUCGGAUUGUCUUUGUCGUUUUUGAUCUGCUUGCCAAUUGUAACCUCUCAUUUUUUGUAUAUGUGACUGAGAAGUAUCAUCCAAUUGGUUAUCAUGUUUGCUGAAAUUUGAAUCAGACUUAGGAACCCAAGGAUCACUCUUUGGGGAAAGAGAGAUAGAACUUGUAGCCUCCAAACACUUCUUCCUUGGAAUUAUAAGGAAAUUUUGUUCAUUAGCCUUAUUAAAAGUUUCAGAAUCAAUGCUAGUUCCAAGUUUUCGUUCAGACUCCUGAUAUGUAGCCGGAAUUGUCUCAUUCAGUAAUAACUUAAAUUCAGUAUUA